GGAACCUAUUUGGCGGGUGUUGGAAGGAAGCAAUCUAAUAAGUGGAUUGAUUGAAUUUGACAAAAUUGACAUUCCACACAUAAUAUUCCAAGUUUCCAACGGUCCAACCUAUGACUGCCUCUGCCUCUGCCUCUGGUCGGCUGCCUGCCAUAGUAAGUUCUUGUUUCAUUUUGAAUCACCAUAAAUUCAAAAGGGUCUUGCUUAUUUUUGCUAUUUUAUGUUUUUUUUUUUCUUUGCCAAUUUGACCUGAUGAGCUAUAUGAAAUUUUCUCUUUUCUAGUAUGUAGAGACGCUUUUGAAUUGGGAUGGGUUUGGCUUAGUUUUUAAUUCCUGUGAUUUUUUUUUUUGGGCUUAAUCUGUAAUGGGUUAUGUGAUUCUUUUCUGUUUUUGAUAUAAACUUUGAUAAUUUCUCUCGUGUGGUUUAAUCUGACAUGAGUUCAUGGGUCAUUUUCAUGUAGAUGGAGGAUGAUGAAGAAGAGGAACCGUAAUCAUUCUCUAAACUAUGUGGCUAACUAUGUGGCUAAUGCUUUUCAGUUAGGGGUUUUUUAAUAUGGUGCUGGGAAAGAACAGGGACAUAGAGCCUCUUUUGUUGAAAUUUGGGGUGGCUUUUGCUCGUUAGUUGCUGGAUUUCUCUUUUCUCGUCUCUUUUACUAGUACAAGUCUAUUUUUUUGCAGCUCCCUUAAUUGAUACAAGGGAAUCUGUUUGGUAUUUAAAAUCUAAUGUGGUGUUUUACUUAUAUUUUUUGUCAUGGGUUGUAAAAUAUAAUUUGGUGCUUUGCUUUUUUUGUCAUGGGAUGUAACUUGUAAGAAACAACUAAUUUGAUAGUUGGAUGAUGCAUGUGCUUGUGAUUGUGAUUUAGUUUAGAAAUGGGCUUUAAUGGAUGACCUAUUUGAAAAAUUGGC
rnacentral:lncRNA from 1 species